rnacentral:rRNA from 2 species
UGGACCCGUAAUCCGGGUUGCGGACAGUGUCUGGUGGGUAGUUUGACUGGGGCGGUCUCCUCCUAAAGAGUAACGGAGGAGCACGAAGGUUGGCUAAUCCUGGUCGGACAUCAGGAGGUUAGUGCAAUGGCAUAAGCCAGCUUGACUGCGAGCGUGACGGCGCGAGCAGGUGCGAAAGCAGGUCAUAGUGAUCCGGUGGUUCUGAAUGGAAGGGCCAUCGCUCAACGGAUAAAAGGUACUCCGGGGAUAACAGGCUGAUACCGCCCAAGAGUUCAUAUCGACGGCGGUGUUUGGCACCUCGAUGUCGGCUCAUCACAUCCUGGGGCUGAAGUAGGUCCCAAGGGUAUGGCUGUUCGCCAUUUAAAGUGGUACGCGAGCUGGGUUUAGAACGUCGUGAGACAGUUCGGUCCCUAUCUGCCGUGGGCGCUGGAGAACUGAGGGGGGCUGCUCCUAGUACGAGAGGACCGGAGUGGACGCAUCACUGGUGUUCGGGUUGUCAUGCCAAUGGCACUGCCCGGUAGCUAAAUGCGGAAGAGAUAAGUGCUGAAAGCAUCUAAGCACGAAACUUGCCCCGAGAUGAGUUCUCCCUGAGACUUAGAGUCUCCUGAAGGAACGUUGAAGACGACGACGUUGAUAGGCCGGGUGUGUAAGCGCAGCGAUGCGUUGAGCUAACCGGUACUAAUGAACCGUGAGGCUUAACCUUACA